UUCCCAGGUAAUCGAAACGCAUAGACUAGGCUAGCUAGAUAGGCUACCUUGACGUAUAUGUAUAUGCAGAAACAGAAAUAUUAGAUGAACGCCGGUCACUGCCUCACGCACGCAAGUUGACACAACAUGGACAUAUAAAUGAAAUUCAACGUAGUAGUAGCAAGUUUUUCGCGAAUAUCUCUUAAAUUAGAAGCUAGCAGUGGUAACAUGUAUAGGAAAAAGUUGUUAGAAACCAUAACCUUGACAACAUAUUUCAAAGUUCUUGAAAUCGCAAACGAGAAGACACCUAUACCAUGCGGCUCCAUAAAGCUUUCUUCAUUUAACUACAGAUGAUGUGACGCCAUUAAACACGAAUCUAAACAAUGAUCUAAACGCGAUCACGCUGCAUAGUAUUAAACUGGAUACAAAAUUACAAUGAAAUAAUACAAAAUUUUAAUAUUAUAUAAUUAUUACAAAUUAAAAUUAAUAUGGUAUUAAAAUUUAAAAAACAAUAUGUAGUUAUGAUUGUAUGAAAUUAUACCGAGCUUUAAGGAUAUUAUAUUAGAACCUAAAGAAACUAAUUAUAUAAUAAUAAUAAUAUUGUUUGUCAACAACAUUAAUUUUGCUAUUAAAUAGCGCGAAAAUAGAAAGUAUACAUGUCAAAAUGGCUGAUAAAACCGGGGAGUGGCUAAACAAAAUGUCUGACUGGAUUCUACUUUCAUCACAAUAUCAACAAAAUUAUAUUUCCAUACUUAUAGAUUAGUACAUAUAUAAUGGUAUAAACAUACACAUGUAAAACAGAGUAACAAAAACUAAAAAUAUAAACGCAAGUAAAAGGGUAA